GGAGAGGUGUCCGAGUGGUCGAAGGAGGCGGUCUUGAAAACCGUUGAGCCGAGAGGCUCCGUGGGUUCGAAUCCCACCUUCUCCG
rnacentral:tRNA from 1 species